GGUUGAGACGGUCAAAAGGAAAGCAGACCCAGGGUCUCCCUAUGUUGCCAAGGCUGGUCUCGAACUCCUAGGCUCAAGCAAUACUCCUGCCUUGGCCUCCCAAAGUGCUGGGAUUAACUCCUCUGGCUGGCGAGGCUGUAUCCUCCUCCUUCUGUUGCAGAAAAUGAGCCUCCAUCAGCCUGUGUCCCCGCGUGAGGACAGUGUGAAACAGACACUCCAGCUGAGCUGUGAGAGACGAGCAGCAUGAGGCAGAAAUAAACCUUCGUUGUCUUACACUG
rnacentral:lncRNA from 1 species